rnacentral:rRNA from 1 species
AAUGAACGCUGGCGGCGCGCCUAAUACAUGCAAGUCGAGCGAGAAGACGUAGCAAUACGUUUGUAAAGCGGCGAACGGGUGAGGAAUACAUGGGUAACCUACCCUAGAGUGGGGAAUAACUAGCCGAAAGGUUAGCUAAUACCGCGUACGCUCCUUGGACUUCGGUUCAGGGAGGAAAGCGAUGCCGAGGGUAUCGCGCUCUUGGAUGGGCUCAUGUCCUAUCAGCUUGUU